rnacentral:rRNA from 1 species
UAGUCUGGGAAACUGCCUGAUGGAGGGGGAUAACUACUGGAAACAGUAGCUAAUACCGCAUAAUGUCGCAAGACCAAAGUGGGGGACCUUCGGGCCUCAUGCCAUCAGAUGUGCCCAGAUGGGAUUAGCUAGUAGGUGGGGUAACGGCUCACCUAGGCGACGAUCCCUAGCUGGUCUGAGAGGAUGACCAGCCACACUGGAACUGAGACACGGUCCAG